UGGGAAUAUUGGACAAUGGGCGAAAGCCUGAUCCAGCCAUGCCGCGUGUGUGAAGAAGGUCUUCGGAUUGUAAAGCACUUUAAGUUGGGAGGAAGGGCAGUAAGCUAAUACCUUGCUGUUUUGACGUUACCGACAGAAUAAGCACCGGCUAACUUCGUGCCAGCAGCCGCGGUAAUACGAAGGGUGCAAGCGUUAAUCGGAAUUACUGGGCGUAAAGCGCGCGUAGGUGGUUCGUUAAGUUGGAUGUGAAAGCCCCGGGCUCAACCUGGGAACUGCAUCCAAAACUGGCGAGCUAGAGUAUGGUAGAGGGUGGUGGAAUUUCCUGUGUAGCGGUGAAAUGCGUAGAUAUAGGAAGGAACACCAGUGGCGAAGGCGACCACCUGGACUGAUACUGACACUGAGGUGCGAAAAGCGUGGGGAGCAAAACAGGAUUAGAUACCCUGGUAGUCCACGCCGUAAAACGAUGUCAACUAGCCGUUGGGUUCCUUGAGAACUUAGUGGCGCAGCUAAACGCAUUAAGUUGACCGCCUGGGGAGUACGGCCGCAAGGUUAAAACUCAAAUGAAUUGACGGGGUCAUAGCUGUUUCCUG
rnacentral:rRNA from 1 species